rnacentral:tRNA from 1 species
GAGGGUAUAGCUCAGUGGCAGAGUACAUGCUUUGCGUGCACAAGGUUCUGGGUUCAAGCCCCAGUACUUCCA